rnacentral:lncRNA from 12 species
UCUAACAGAGUCCCUACUUCUCCCUGCCAGCUGGUCCCACAGGGACCGUCACCUGGCCAUUCAGUGGCUAGUCCUCACUGCCCUCUAAACAGCCAGCCCACUGGGAGUCCUUUUCCUGGAAAUGGGCUCAGGUCCAUACACCCUUCCUUCCCAAGAACCCUGAAAUGCUGUUCUCUUCAAAAGCUUCAGAGGCUCAGAAAUACUCAGGUGUCAGGUUGCUUUGGCCUUCUCAGUUCCAACGCACACUCCCCUUUUCCUUCUUAAAUGAUCUGGUGAUCCCAGGAGUCAUAUUCAAAACCUAGAAUGGCAAAAGAACUUGCUUUCUGUUACUUGGGGUCGGGGGGCAGUUUGUGAGUGGUACAGCAAUGCAGCAGUUAGUUUUUCCCUUCCUGCAUGGUGGCAGAGUAAGCUUCCUGCUAUCAAGGUUAUCUUCUCCUAAGGAUGGAUAGAAUAAUAUUAAAGCAUCUACAGUAUUGAAUUCUUAAUGACUCAAUCUGCUACAUUUGCAUAUAACUGUAGGUGGUUCACAGAUAUCUUCAAGCCCCAUUGUGUCUCACGACUACAUUUUUUGGCACCUUCCCUGGUGUGCUGCUGUCCGUGGUGCUGAAGUAUCAUCAGGCUCAAAGGUUGCAGAAAACCCAGAGAGGCCUGAAGUUUGCAGAACACAGUGAACCCAGAUCAUUCUGCCAUCAAGUAGUUUGGAGAAUUCCAGAAGUGAAGGGGUUGUCAGGACGCUUCAGCUCCAUCCCCAGGACUGUCACUACCGGGCACAGCAGCACAACACCAGGAGAAGUGCUUGCAUUUACUCCCUGCAUUGCACUGUAUGUUCUUGUGAACCUGGGCAACCUGCCUGUGGCAGCAGACAGACCUCUCCUUGCUCGGCCUGCACUCCCCAGGGCCCCUCCUGUCCUUUUAUGGGGUCCCCAGGACAGUUGGUCCUCCCCGUUGUCCUCAUGCAGAGCCUGUGUGAUGGUCAGAUCCGCCUGGCUGCUGGGAGGGAAGGAGUCUGCCAAGG